AUCAAGAUUUAACGAUUGAGUGAUUUUUGGACUAAAUUGGACGAAAGGAAAGUUAGGAAUCAACUUUUGAGGAGGUGGCAAUCAUAAGGACCAAGAGGUAACUUUGCCAUAAAUAUAUAAUGGGAUUAGUUGGAGUUUAAACUCAGAUUUUUCAUUUGAAGAGCAGCCAUCAAAAUCAUCAUAUCCUUCCUUUAAAAAGCUUUUCAUGUAAAAGCUUAAAAUCACCAUAACUUACUCGUUUCUUGACGGAAUUGGACGAUUCUUGCGGCCACGGAACGAGGAGGAGGAGCUCUACUGAUCAAUAACAAUUAAUUAAGGCAUCGACAAACUACGGAUUUGACGAUUUUGGCUAAGGGGUUCGGCCAAGACAAGGGAAUCGCAAAAGAAUUGGAAUAGCAAGUGUACUUAGACUUGGAGUGACUAGAAGUCUAUCGUUUUGCCGGGAGUCUGUCUUGCCAUGUACAGUCCGACUUCCGUGACCGCUGCAGUAGUACAUUGUGUGACCAGUCAUGACCUAGGACAAUAUUAUAGUUUUGGAAAAUGUUUAUAACGAUGUUAGAUUUACGUAGCCAGUGUUUACAAAAUUAAAUGCUUCCGUGUUAUAACAUAAUUGCGAAAAAUUUAUAGUGAA